rnacentral:pre_miRNA from 1 species
UCUUAUGGAUAAGCAAAGAAAGUGGCUUUUUGAGAUGGAAUCUACUGCUGGUGAAGACAUUGUGAA